AUUACCCUUUAUGUGAAUGUUAGAUAUCUUGAAGUGAGGCAGCCACCAGGACAUGUGCCAAAUAUCAAGUAAGAGAUGAACAUCUGAAUAUUGUUAGCCCAGCGAAUCACCGUUAGGAAAUCACCCUCGAUACCCACUCUUCUAGCAUCAAGACAAAAUUAUAUAGCCUAUACUAGUCCUUUCCACGCGGCCAUGAGUUCGACCAUAUAGGAAUAUUAGUGUUAAAGAAUCUAAAGAAGUGUUUGAUUUACAAUCAGAAUGAGAAUGAUAAUUGGAAUGGCUUGGAAUCGGAAUCAGAAUAGUUAAAUUCUCCAAAGUAUUUGGUUCGUGACCGGAAUCG
rnacentral:lncRNA from 1 species